UGGUUCCAUGGUCUAGGGGUAUGAUAUCUCGCUUACAACGAGAGGAUCGUGAGUUCGAAUCUCGCUGGAACCAU
rnacentral:tRNA from 1 species